ACAGUAUGCAUCUAAAAAUGCAUCACCUCUGUGAGCAUCGUAUGUUUACAGUUAGUUAACUUACUGAUCAUGGAUGCUGUUAAGGUAGUGCUCAUAUGUCGCGCUCUCUCUAUGUCGCGCUCUCUCUAUUUUUUAGACAACUCAAGACCCUCUGCAACGUAAGCACAUGCACGCUAAACUGAUCAUCACGAUUCACCAGACUCUCAUUUAAAUAAAGUUCAAGGAUUGCCAACUUGGAUUCGGCUGCAGAAGGCUAUUCGGCACAGUCGCAGGCAGACAGCCGAACUUCGUGCUCUCAUGCAAUCCCAAUGAGAGCGACAAAAAAAAAAAAAAAAAAAACUUAAUUUGCACGCAGAGACUAUGGCGGCCGAAAUUAGACUAUGGCGGUGCGCCAUAGUCUCGUCAAUGUGUGGGAAACACUGUAGUUUGAGUGCGCCCUAAGAUAGCAUAUUAUAUAGCAUUUUUAAAACAAAAUAAUUCUGAAUCCUUUGGUUCUAUAAUAACACUGUUCUUGCUUGUAACUUCAAUUUCUCAACAGCAGAUAUGCAGGAAUGUCCUGUGUGCACACAAAUCUUCCCAACAGAUUUUAUUGAGGCACACGCUUCGGCCUGCGGGGAGAGUGCUAGUGCAGGGAAUGAGAUGCAUGCAAGUACGAUCAGUGAGGAAGAAGCAGCAAUACCUGGAACAUCCGGAGGAGAUAGAGAUAGAGAUGGAGGCUGGUUCACCAUUGCUGACCCCGCCAAGGCCAUAGCGCAGUGUGUGGAAAAUCAUCUCAGCCUUCACAAGGAGGAGAAUCCAUUGCAGCUAACCAUGGACAUAAGAAGUAGUCCUACCGAACAGGACAUGGCCCUGAUCUCCUUUUACAAGCCGCCAAAUGUGGAAUGGGGACGACCCCUGAACUGCAGACUUGAAGGUUGCUCCAACAUCAAGUUUCAGUUGUCAAAUUAAUAUUUUCAAGUAUUUCCUUUAUCUUUAUUCUGUCAAACUGUUUCACAGGAGAUACUGCUAUUGGCAAGGGUGUGACUCGCUUUUUUUUGUCCUCCCGCAUUGAAAAGCUGAAGUCUGGAUUUUCCAUAAAUUUUGGUAUGCAAUUUAGGUGUAUGGCAUCCUUUUAAAUGCUCUAUUUGUUUAAUGUUUAUUUCAGGUGGGAUAAUAACGGGGGAGUCCAGUUCAGCACAAACAGUACUAACACAUGUUUUUAUUCAAUGUAUUUUUAUGUGUUGAACAGCAAAUGCCGAUGUAACACGGCUUUUUGAUGGCGAGCCUGGCCAUUUGGUCCCAUCAGCCUCUCAUUUUCUUGUCGAAAGUGACUUGUUCAUGGUGGCGGGGAGAAUGCUAGGCCACUCUUUCCUUCACGGAGGACCGUCCUUGUCUGGACUUGUUCAUGUACUGCUUGGUGGGAGUCCUGAAACGGCAACUCUAACUUUGGAGGAUUGUCCAGACCUGGACAUCAGAGAAAUAAUAAGGCCAUUAAGUUGACUUAAAAAAAACGGUAGAAUCCUGGGAAAGACCAAUUAGAACACAGCAUUUAUCAUUGCUGUGAUGUGUUAUAGCCAGUACUUUUUAAAAGGGCACAUAGUACCUAGCAUUACUCAACUUUGUAUCCUAAUUUGCUUAUUGUGCCUCUGCCUUAAAGCUCGGAGGAGAAUCCACACUAUCGGAGAAGGAUGCAGCAAGUGUCCAGGAAUUGGCCUACGCCUGGGACCUUCCAUCCAUAACUGAGAUGGAUUUUUGAGAAGUUAUUGAUCCAUGCUGUGAGUGAAAGUUUGAGAAAUGUUUGCUUCCAAAAUUACAAGUGGCAAUUCUUCUUUUCUAAAAUCUGAGUUAUGUGCACAUUGUUUAUCUGUCGCACAACAUUAGUCAAAAUUAUUCUGGUUAAUUUAUAACCAAGGAAACAAAGUGUCACGGUUUAUGUAAAAUGUUUUACUUCGUAUUUGUCAAAUUAUUUUCCUGGAAACAUAAAAUAUGGUGUAGUCACUGGUCAGUAAUAAAUGCAAAAGUGGUUUUAUCACUGAACUGGAGGACACAGUAUCAUGUUACUUAAUUCCCUU
rnacentral:lncRNA from 1 species